GGAGAUGUACUCAAGUGGCCGAAGAGGUCGCACUCGAAAUGCGAUAGGUCGGGUAACCGGCGCGAGGGUUCAACUCCCUCCAUCUCCG
rfam:Eubacterium cellulosolvens 6 chromosome, whole genome shotgun sequence.